CUACGGGUCGCAGCAGUGAGGAAUAUUGCACAAUGGGGGGAACCCUGAUGCAGCAACGCCGCGUGGAGGAUGACGCAUUUCGGUGUGUAAACUCCUUUUAUAUGUCAAGAAAAUGACGGUAGCAUACGAAUAAGCACCGGCUAACUCCGUGCCAGCAGCCGCGGUAAUACGGAGGGUGCAAGCGUUACUCGGAAUCACUGGACGUAAAGGACGCGUAGGCGGGUUGGAAAGUCAGGUGUGAAAUCCUACAGCUUAACUGUAGAACUGCACUUGAAACUUCUAAUCUAGAGUAUGGGAGGGGGAAAUGGAAUUAGUGGUGUAGGGGUAAAAUCCGUAGAUAUCACUAGGAAUACCUAAAGCGAAGGCGAUCUCCUGGAACAUUACUGACGCUAAGGCGUGAAAGCGUGGGGAGCAAACAGGAUUAGAUACCCCGGUAGUC
rnacentral:rRNA from 1 species